rnacentral:ribozyme from 2 species
AUAGUAAUGCAGCCAAGAGACAGUGGCAAGCCUGACAGAAUGCAGAGCCUUAA